UUUCCGUAGGUGAACCUGCGGAUGGAUCAUUACAGAGUUCAUGCCCUACCGGGUAGAUCUCCCACCCUAUGUUAUUAUUACUUUGUUGCUUUGGCGGGCCGUUAGGCUCCGGCCCGACUACCGGCCCCGGCUGGUAAGCGCCCGCCAGAGGACCCAAAACCCUGAAUAUUAGUGUCGUCUGAGUACUAUAUAAUAGUUAAAACUUUCAACAACGGAUCUCUUGGUUCUG
rnacentral:misc_RNA from 1 species